GACGAACGCUGGCGGCGUGCCUAAUACAUGCAAGUAGAACGCACAGUUUAUACCGUAGCUUGCUACACCAUAGACUGUGAGUUGCGAACGGGUGAGUAACGCGUAGGUAACCUGCCUGGUAGCGGGGGAUAACUAUUGGAAACGAUAGCUAAUACCGCAUAAUAUUAAUUAUUGCAUGAUAAUUAAUUGAAAGGUGCAAUUGCACCACUACCAGAUGGACCUGCGUUGUAUUAGCUAGUAGGUGAGGUAACGGCUCACCUAGGCGACGAUACAUAGCCGACCUGAGAGGGUGAUCGGCCACACUGGGACUGAGACACGGCCCAGACUCCUACGGGAGGCAGCAGUAGGGAAUCUUCGGCAAUGGACGAAAGUCUGACCGAGCAACGCCGCGUGAGUGAAGAAGGUUUUCGGAUCGUAAAGCUCUGUUGUAAGAGAAGAACGGGUGUGAGAGUGGAAAGUUCACACUGUGACGGUAACUUACCAGAAAGGGACGGCUAACUACGUG
rnacentral:rRNA from 1 species